GAUGAACGCUGACAGAAUGCUUAACACAUGCAAGUCAACUUGAACUUCGGUUUGGGUGGCGGACGGGUGAGUAACGCGUAAAGAACUUGCCUCACAGAUAGGGACAACAUUUGGAAACGAAUGCUAAUACCUGAUAUUAUGAUUUUAGGGCAUCCUAGGAUUAUGAAAGCUAUAUGCGCUGUGAGAGAGCUUUGCGUCCCAUUAGCUAGUUGGAGAGGUAACGGCUCACCAAGGCGAUGAUGGGUAGCCGGCCUGAGAGGGUGAUCGGCCACAAGGGGACUGAGACACGGCCCGUACUCCUACGGGAGGCAGCAGUGGGGAAUAUUGGAAAAUGGACCAAGAGUCUGAUCCAGCAAUUCUGUGUGCACGAUGAAGUUUUUCGGAAUGUAAAGUGCUUUCAGUUGGGAAGAAAAAAAUGACGGUACCAACAGAAGAAGUGACGGCUAAAUACGUG
rnacentral:rRNA from 1 species